AACUUUUGACAUGUCCCGUAUGGGUUUCAGAGAUGAGAUCCUUCAGUUCGGCUGGCGGGAACACAGGUGCUGCAUGGCUGUCGUCAGCUCGUGUCGUGAGAUGUUGGGUUAAGUCCCGCAACGAGCGCAACCCUCGGCCUUAGUUGCCAUCAUUCAGUUGGGCACUCUAAGGCGACUGCCGGUGAUAAGCCGGAGGAAGGUGGGGAUGACGUCAAGUCCUCAUGGCCCUUACAGGCUGGGCUACACACGUGCUACAAUGGCGGUGACAGAGGGAAGCGAAGGAGCGAUCCUUAGCCAAUCUCCAAAAGCCGUCUCAGUUCGGAUUGCACUCUGCAACUCGAGUGCAUGAAGCCGGAAUCGCUAGUAAUGGCGUAUCAGAACGACGCCGUGAAUACGUUCCCGGGCC
rnacentral:rRNA from 1 species